rnacentral:rRNA from 1 species
UACGGAGGGGGCAAGCGUUGUUCGGAAUUACUGGGCGUAAAGGGCUCGUAGGCGGCCAACUAAGUCAGACGUGAAAUCCCUCGGCUUAACCGGGGAACUGCGUCUGAUACUGGAUGGCUUGAGGUUGGGAGAGGGAUGCGGAAUUCCAGGUGUAGCGGUGAAAUGCGUAGAUAUCUGGAGGAACACCGGUGGCGAAGGCGGCAUCCUGGACCAAUUCUGACGCUGAGGAGCGAAAGCCAGGGGAGCAAACGGG